AAUAAUAAAAAUAAUAAAAGGAAAAGAAAGAGAGUGUAGAAUGUUUCUCGUUAAACUAUGAAAUACUUUAUACAAACCAUCAUAAUAUUUUUCUCUUUUCAAUUGGUUCGCUAAAAUAAAAAUU
rnacentral:sRNA from 1 species